AGAGUUUGAUCCUGGCUCAGGACGAACGCUGGCGGCGUGCUUAAGACAUGCAAGUCGUACGAGAAAGUCUCUUCGGAGGUGAGUAAAGUGGCGCACGGGUGAGUAACGCGUGGGUAAUCUGCCCAUAGGUUUGGGAUAACCCCGGGAAACCGGAGCUAAUACCGAAUAAGCCCACGACGACUUCGGUCGAUGUGGGAAAAGGUGGCCUCUUCUUGAAAGCUACCGCCAAUGGAUGAGCCCGCGUUUGAUUAGCUUGUUGGCGAGGUAACGGCUCACCAAGGCUCCGAUCAAUAGCUGGUCUGAGAGGACGAUCAGCCACACUGGAACUGAGACACGGUCCAGACUCCUACGGGAGGCAGCAGUCGGGAAUAUUGGGCAAUGGGCGAAAGCCUGACCCAGCAACGCCGCGUGAAGGAUGAAGGCCUUCGGGUCGUAAACUUCUGUCGAGAGGGAAGAAUGCGUGCAGGCGAAUAGUCUGUACGUUUGACGGUACCUCCAAAGGAAGCACCGGCUAACUCCGUGCCAGCAGCCGCGGUAAUACGGAGGGUGCAAGCGUUGUUCGGAUUUAUUGGGCGUAAAGCGAGCGUAGGCGGUUUAACAAGUCGGGUGUGAAAUCCCAGGGCCCAACCCUGGAACUGCAUCCGAUACUGUUAGGCUAGAGUUCCGGAGAGGAUGGCGGAAUUCCCGGUGUAGGGGUGA
rnacentral:rRNA from 1 species